CAAUAGCGUAUAUUAAAGCUGUUGCGGUUAAAAAGCUCGUAGUUGGAUUUCUGUCAAGGACAACUGGUCCGCCCUACGGGUGAGCACAUAGUUUGGUCUUGGCAUCUUGCUGGAAACUGUUGCUGCGCUUGGUUGUGUGGUGCAGCUUUCAGCACUUUCACUUUGAGGAAAUUGGAGUGUUUCAAGCAGGCACAUGCCUUUGGACACAGUAGCAUGGAAUAAUUAGAUUGGGCUUUUGCUCCAACUUGUUGGUUCCUGGAGCUGAGGUGAGAAUCAAUGGGGAUUGUUGGGGGCAUCCGAAUUUAGCCGUCAGAGGUGAAAUUCUUGGAUCUGCUAAAGACGGACAACUGCGAUAGCGUUUGCCCAGGAUGUUUUCAUUGA
rnacentral:rRNA from 1 species